GACGAACGCUGGCGGCGUGCUUAACACAUGCAAGUCGAACGAUGAAGCCGGAGCUUGCUCUGGUGAAUUAGUGGCGAACGGGUGAGUAACACGUGAGUAACCUGCCCUUGACUCUGGGAUAACUGCGGCAAACUGUAGCUAAUACCGGAUACGACCCUCGGAGGCAUCUCCUGGGGGUGGAAAGAAUUUCGGUCAAGGAUGGACUCGCGGCCUAUCAGCUAGUUGGUGAGGUAAAGGCUCACCAAGGCGACGACGGGUAGCCGGCCUGGGAGGGUGACCGGCCACACUGGGACUGAGACACGGCCCAGACUCCUACGGGAGGCAGCAGUGGGGAAUAUUGCACAAUGGGCGCAAGCCUGAUGCAGCAACGCCGCGUGAGGGAUGACGGCCUUCGGGUUGUAAACCUCUUUUAGUAGGGAAGAAGCGAAAGUGACGGUACCUGCAGAAAAAGCACCGGCUAACUACGUGCCAGCAGCCGCGGUAA
rnacentral:rRNA from 1 species